rnacentral:lncRNA from 1 species
UGGACCAGGAGUGGGAAGGAGUUGGCCUGGAGCCCUGUGAAGCCACAGGGCAGUAAAUAGAUGGCAGCCUGAUGUGCUUGGUUCAGUCUGUCCUGUUACAGGAGUUUCUCAACUUUGUGGAGUUUGGAAUACAAGGCUUCUUGGAAAAGAUUGACUGUAUGCUUACCUGAGAAAGGGUGAUCUUGCUGAAUCUGUCUCCCAAAGCUUUUUUGUAAUCUGAAAUCCUCUAGAUUUCUCUGACCAUUUUGAAGAAUUAAGGAUUAUGGUUAAACUUGGUAAAAUUUUUAAUUUGUAUCUUUCCUAUCUGAAGAAAAUAAAAUUGUUUAAAUAAAAAUGUUCUUGUGUUUG